CUUGUACUCCCUCCGUCCAAAAAUACUUUUCAUUGAAAUGGAUGUAUGUAGAUGUAUUUUAGUUCUAGACACAUCCAUUUUGAUGACAAGUAAUUCCGGACGGAGGGAGUACUUG
rnacentral:pre_miRNA from 1 species